AAGAAAUAUCUGGACAAUAGUUUCACGAGACUUUGGCCAGACUUAGCUUCAAGUUGUGCACAGAAUUCGAGAGAACACACAGAUCCGUAGAAGAAUGCCAUCAACAGUCAAUCCCAAGCACGGGCGCAACCCCACACCAGAUAUUCGUGUGCGUUAUCGCAAUCCCGUGGCAGCUUUCAUGACUGGACUCGCGAGUUUGGCUUAUUGGAUGGUGUACUGGUUGGCUUAUUUCAUUAUUUAUCUUUCCGGAACUGUUAUACUCUUGGGCCUGGUCUGGCCACGACAUGCGUGGCGAGUGCUGAACUCCAUGCUGAAGCAGGAUCACAUGGAACGACAUUUCAAAGACGAAUUAUGAGUUGGGUGUAUAUAUUUUUUAAUAAAACGUUCGAGCAAGAACUACAAAAUGCUCAAAUACUCGUGUC